CCGGAAGCGCGGGCGGCGGCAUGGAUGGAGCGGGCGUUCUGUGCGGUGUGUUCCGUCUUCUCGGCGCGGACCGCAUUCCCGUGGAUGUUCGCCCUCAGGGGCGGGGCUCGACACGAAAAGCAUCCGUGGACCUCAAGUUUGAGGUGAAACCAGGCUCAGGGGCCACCUGUCCUCGCUGAUCCAUGGAUUUCUGUGUGACCAGGUUACACCUAUGGAGCCGUGGCCCCGACUACCAACAGUGAGUAUUCCUGGCCCUGAUCUCCUGGGUCCCGUCUGCAUUUGGAGUUUGGGAGCACUUGUUCUCCUUCACCUGCUGUCCUUGGCUUGCUCAUCCCUCUACUCACACAGUCACC